CCUACGGGUGGCAGCAGUCGAGAAUCAUUCACAAUGGGGGAAACCCUGAUGGUGCGACACCGCGUGGGGGAAUGAAGGUCUUCGGAUUGUAAACCCCUGUCAUGUGGGAGCAAAUUAAAAAGAUAGUACCACAAGAGGAAGAGACGGCUAACUCUGUACCAGCAGCCGCGGUAAUACGGAGGUCGCAAGCGUUGUUCGGAAUCACUGGGCGUAAAGCGUGCGUAGGCUGUUUCGUAAGUCGUGUGUGAAAGGCGGGGGCUCAACCCGCGGACGGCAAAUGAGACUGCGAGACUAGAGUACAGGAGGGGGAACCGGAAUUCUCGGUGUAGCAGUGAAAUGCGUAGAUAUCGGGAGGAACACUCGUGGCGAAGGCGGGUUCCUGGACAUUAACUGACGCUGAGGCACGAAAGCCAGGGGAGCGAAAGGGAUUAGAUACCCCUGUAGUC
rnacentral:rRNA from 1 species